CGCGCUGCCGCCGGCGGUCUGUGGGGUCCCGCCCCCGCGCAAGGCGGGGCCGACGGGCCGCGCUGGUUCUGUCCCGCAGCUGCGAAACCGGCCGCUGUGAGGUCCCCGGCGCGGUCCCGCGAGCUGGGCUUGCUCGGUGACAGCGGAAGGCGCUGCCCGCUGGGCCCAGGUGGCGGGGGAAGGCGGCAGCAUCGGUGCAGGGGCAAACCGAGUGCACGAGGAGGCAGGGGCCGGAAAGGGUCCGAGGGCGACAGGUUAAGAAGAAGGAGAAGCGCUGCCGCCAGUGGCGGAGGGGAAACCCUGGAUUUUCAACAGUUCAGAAGAAUCUACAAAAAUUCAGAAACAGAAUAUAAUCCUUAUUCUGACACCAGAUUUGAGGAAAGAGACAAAAAAAGGGAUCAGUAACUUUUUAUGGUACAUAUUGAAAAAGUAUGGUCUCUGGAUCACCAGCUGUCUGCAUCAAUGAGUGUACGAAACAUCUGCAGUUCACUGGCUUUCCAGUGACACCAUUAAUUUGAAAAGUGGAGGAGAAACAGCAACACCUUUCAGCUGAAUGAGGGCAAUAGCCGUUUCUUCUCUUCAAAGGGAUGUAGUUCAUUAAUAUUUAUAAAGCACUUUGAGUUGGUCAGAGAGAAGGUGCUAUGGAAAUACAAAUAUUACUUGGAGUGCUUUUCAUGCCUUGUCUAGACUAGGAUUUAAAAGUGUAGUGUUUGCCUGUGUUAUCCAACAUGUUCCAACACAUUGAUAUUUUGCCUUAAGACAUGCUAAAUUGGUCAAGUUGAAGACCAGGUUCCUCCCUAGGCUUUAAAUCAACCAGUUUAGUAUGUGUUGAAGGCAGCAUGUCUUAUCUUCACAUCAGCAAAUGUGUGCCAAUAUUACACUUUUGAUCCUAGCCUAAGCAAGAUUUGAGUUUAUCUUAAAGCCU